rnacentral:lncRNA from 1 species
ACCACCUGAUUUUGGAGAGCCUUCACCAUGAUCUCCAACUCCUCGUUACGCCGCAGCACUUCCUUAUAGCGCUGCUCCAUAUCGAAGGAAAUCUGGUUCAGCUGAGCGGCGAUCUCACCUCGGAGGGUUGCGUCCCUACCCUCAAGGUCCUCCAUCCGUCCUUCAACCUCAGCUAUUUGGGCCUCGCACCUCCGUAAUCGAUUGUUGGCGGAGAUAACCGGAGAUG